GGUUCGUUAAGUUUGAUGUGAAAUCCCCGGGCUCAACCUGGGAACUGCAUUCAAAACUGACGAGCUAGAGUAUGGUAGAGGGUGGUGGAAUUUCCUGUGUAGCGGUGAAAUGCGUAGAUAUAGGAAGGAACACCAGUGGCGAAGGCGACCACCUGGACUGAUACUGACACUGAGGUGCGAAAGCGUGGGGAGCAAACAGGAUUAGAAACCCCUGUAGUCC
rnacentral:rRNA from 1 species